GCCAGACUCCUACGGGAGGCAGCAGUGGGGAAUAUUGCACAAUGGGGGAAACCCUGAUGCAGCGACGCCGCGUGAGCGAAGAAGUAUUUCGGUAUGUAAAGCUCUCUCAGCAGGGAAGAAAAAAAUGACGGUACCUGAGUAAGAAGCACCGGCUAAAUACGUGCCAGCAGCCGCGGUAAUACGUAUGGUGCAAGCGUUAUCCGGAUUUACUGGGUGUAAAGGGAGCGUAGGCGGCGCGUUAAGUCUGAUGUGAAAACCCGAGGCUCAACCACGGGAGUGCAUUGGAAACUGGCGGGCUGGAGUGCCGGAGAGGUAAGCGGAAUUCCUAGUGUAGCGGUGAAAUGCGUAGAUAUUAGGAGGAACACCAGUGGCGAAGGCGGCUUACUGGACCGAAACUGACGUUGAAGCUCGAAAGCGUGGGGAGCAAACAGGAUUAGAUACCCCAGUAA
rnacentral:rRNA from 1 species